rnacentral:misc_RNA from 1 species
UACGGAGGGUGCAAGCGUUGUUCGGAAUUACUGGGCGUAAAGCGCACGUAGGCGGCCAGGUAAGUCGGAUGUGAAAUCCCGGGGCCCAACCCCGGAACUGCACCCGAUACUGCCUGGCUGGAGUCCCGGAGAGGAUGGCGGAAUUUCCGGUGUAGAGGUGAAAUUCGUAGAUAUCGGAAGGAACACCAGUGGCGAAGGCGGCCAUCUGGACGGUGACUGACGCUGAGGUGCGAAAGCGUGGGGAGCAAACAGG